rnacentral:rRNA from 1 species
UGUGUAGGCGGUUUUCUAAGUUUGGUGUGAAAUCUCCCGGCUCAACCGGGAGGGUGCGCCGAAAACUGGGAGACUAGAGUGCGGGAUGGGAGAGUAGAAUUCCUGGUGUAGCGGUGAAAUGCGUAGAUAUCAGGAGGAAUACCGGUGGUGUAGACGGCUCUCUGGACCGCCACUGACGCUGAGACACGAAAGCGUGGGUAGCAAACA